GUGCUUAUUGCAAACUUAUUAUCAAUAACCAGGAAGGAUCUAAGCCAGGACCAGCCCUCAAAGCAAGAACGACGCUUUAUGUGGCCUCCAGAAAUUGCCAGUUAUAGAAUUAUUUUGGUCCAUAACCUUUCUGGAGUGCUUACCAGAUGCCAGUGCUUUCUUAAGCCUUUUACUUGUGUUAAUUUAUUUAAUCCUUAAUCUUGUGCAGUUGGGAGUACCUCCAUUUUACAGAUGGAGAAACUGAGGCAUAGCGGGAUUUCAGAAACUUGCCAGAGCUUGUUUAGCACAUCUGCCUGAGGCAUCUGGGCUCUGCCCACUAUAUGUAUCAUGGUCAGAGACUUGGGCCUGUGUGCAGCUCAGGGCUCCAAAUUCAGAAGCUCUAAGGCCACAAAGCAGGGCUGAGCUACGUCUUUUCAGGGAGGGUGACGUGACAGCCCAGAGAACACAAAGGGCCUCCAGUCACACAGAGUGAGGAAAGGGGCAUCCUGGGACCAGGGAUUGAAGUGUCACAUCUGAAAUGCAGGCCACCUCCUGCCUCCUGUCCCUCCUGCUGCUGUCCUCUCACAGUCCCUCCUACUUUGAAGACCUUCCUUCAGACUUCCAGGCCCAGGGCCCAAUGCAGCUCUUUCCUUAGUAGGGCUGGGUGCCUCCUGAGUUGGGCAAGCCCAGCAGGAUCACCACCCAUGAGGAUCUGCCCAAGACUGUGCCACAUGGCCGGCCACAGAGACCAAGCAAGGAGCAAGGAAGCAGCUGACCUGGGCAGGAGCCACUGUUGGAUACCACGAAGAGGAAGAACGGAGACUUCGGUGCUUCUUAAGAAGCAGGGCUAGAAGCAAACCCAGCCAGCCACUAUGCCCACCCUUCCCCUCCACCCAGAGCAGCAAGGUGAAGAGAGGACCCAGCUGGACCUGAUUCAGCUAACGGCACACUUACACAGGCUUUGCUGUGCGAAUCCACCAUCUCCCUGCCUUUGGCUCAUGUUCCCAGCCAAUCUACUCCAUCCACACACACGGAUGGCCGCUGCUAGGAAGGGCUACAUCCUCCUGAGGUAA
rnacentral:lncRNA from 1 species